UAAUACCGGAUAACCCCUUUCGGGGGAAAGAUUCAUUGCCGAAAGAUCGGCCCGCGUCGGAUUAGCUUGUUGGUGGGGUAAUGGCCUACCAAGGCGACGAUCCGUAGCUGGUCUGAGAGGAUGACCAGCCACACUGGGACUGAGACACGGCCCAGACUCCUACGGGAGGCAGCAGUGGGGAAUAUUGGACAAUGGGCGAAAGCCUGAUCCAGCCAUGCCGCGUGGGUGAAGAAGGCCUUAGGGUUGUAAACCCCUUUCAGCGGGGACGAUAAUGACGGUACCCGCAGAAGAAUCCCGC
rnacentral:rRNA from 1 species